ACAGUCACACAUUAGAUACCCCUGUAGUCCAGGGUGUAAACGCUGCAGACUUGGUGUUGGGAACCCUUCGGGGGUGCUCAGUGCCGGAGAGAAGUUGUUAAGUCUGCUACUUGGGAGUACGUCCGCAAGGAUGAAACUUAAAGGAAUCGGCGGGGGAGCACCGCAACGGGAGGAGCGUGCGGUUUAAUUGGAUUCAACGCCGAAAAACUCACCAGCAGCGACUGUUACAUGAAAGUCAGGUUGAUGACCUUACUAGAUUUUCAG
rnacentral:rRNA from 1 species